rnacentral:misc_RNA from 1 species
UACGGAGGAUCCAAGCGUUAUCCGGAAUUACUGGGCGUAAAGAGUUGCGUAGGUGGCAUUGUAAGUUGGUAGUGAAAGCGUGGGGCUCAACCUUAUACCCAUUAUCAAAACUACAAAGCUAGAGGAUGAGAGAGGUCGCUGGAAUUACUAGUGUAGGAGUGAAAUCCGUAGAUAUUAGUAGGAACACCAAUGGAGAAGGCAGGCGACUGGCUCAUUUCUGACACUAAGGCACGAAAGCGUGGGUAGCAAACGGG